GGAUAACAUGCCCUAAGGUGGGGGAUAAUCUCGGGAAACUGAGGGUAAUACCCCAUAGGUCUGAUGUGCUGGAAUGCUUUCAGGCCGAAAACUCCGGUGCCUUAGGAUUGGUCUGCGGUCUAUCAGGCAGUAGUGGGUGUAACGGACCCACUAGCCCGUGACGGAUAUGGGCCUUGAGAGAGGGAGCCCAGAGAUGGACUCUGAGACAUGAGUCCAGGCCCUACGGGGCGCAGCAGUCGCGAAAACUUCGCAAUGGGGGCAACCCCGACGAGGGAAUUCCAAGUGCUAGCACUUUUGUGUUAGCUGUUCUUCUGUCUAAAAAACAGGAGGAGUAAGGGGCGGGUAAGACGGGUGCCAGCCGCCGCGGUAAUACCCGCGCCCCAAGUGGUGGUCGAUAUUAUUGAGCCUAAAACGUCCGUAGCCGGUCUUCUAAAUCCUUGGGUAAAUCGGGCAGCUUAACUGUCCGAAGUCCGGGGAGACUGGGAGACUUGGGACCGGGAGAGGUCAGAGGUACUUCUGGGGUAGGGGUAAAAUCCUGUAAUCCUGGAAGGACCACCGGUGGCGAAGGCGUCUGACUAGAACGGAUCCGACGGUGAGGGACGAAGCCCUGGGGCGCAAACGGGAUUAGAUACCCCGGUAGUCCAGGGUGUAAACGCUGCGGGCUUGGUGUUGGGGGUCCUUAGUGGGCGCCCAGUGCCGGAGAGAAGUUGUUAAGCCUGCUGCUUGGGGAGUAUGUCCGCAAGGAUGAAACUUAA
rnacentral:rRNA from 1 species